CCGGCCUUUCUGAUGAAACAUUUUCGGAUGUUAAAACACACAUUACUGAAUUGCGCAAACAAUCCCCAUGUUGAUAUUUCCGUUGCCUUCCUUCUGAUCUGGCCC
rnacentral:snoRNA from 1 species